AGUGAACGCUGGCGGUAGGCCUAACACAUGCAAGUCGAACGGCAGCACAGUAAGAGCUUGCUCUUAUGGGUGGCGAGUGGCGGACGGGUGAGGAAUACAUCGGAAUCUACUUUUUCGUGGGGGAUAACGUAGGGAAACUUACGCUAAUACCGCAUACGACCUACGGGUGAAAGCAGGGGAUCUUCGGACCUUGCGCGAUUGAAUGAGCCGAUGUCGGAUUAGCUAGUUGGCGGGGUAAAGGCCCACCAAGGCGACGAUCCGUAGCUGGUCUGAGAGGAUGAUCAGCCACACUGGAACUGAGACACGGUCCAGACUCCUACGGGAGGCAGCAGUGGGGAAUAUUGGACAAUGGGCGCAAGCCUGAUCCAGCCAUACCGCGUGGGUGAAGAAGGCCUUCGGGUUGUAAAGCCCUUUUGUUGGGAAAGAAAAGCAGCAGGUUAAUACCCCGCUGUUAUGACGGUACCCAAAGAAUAAGCACCGGCUAACUUCGUG
rnacentral:rRNA from 1 species